rfam:Rodentibacter heylii strain 1998236014 contig_35, whole genome shotgun sequence.
GGUCGAGAGUGCGAGGAAUAAAAUACCGAAAGGGAAUAACUCCGCUCGAUGCUUUACGAGUUUUGAGCUCUCGACCGCCCGAAU